GUGCCCAAGCCUUCUGCCCUGCUCCCCCUCUCUAAUCCUUGCUAUCUGGGUGCUAGUGCUGUCUCAAUGCAAUGCACCUGGGCAAGGAUUCAGAGAGGGGGAGCUCAACUGU